rnacentral:rRNA from 1 species
AGAGUUUGAUCCUGGCUCAGGAUGAACGCUGGCGGCGUGCCUAAUACAUGCAAGUCGAGCGAACGGACGAGAAGCUUGCUUCUCUGAUGUUAGCGGCGGACGGGUGAGUAACACGUGGAUAACCUACCUAUAAGACUGGGAUAACUUCGGGAAACCGGAGCUAAUACCGGAUAAUAUUUUGAACCGCAUGGUUCAAAAGUGAAAGACGGUCUUGCUGUCACUUAUAGAUGGAUCCGCGCUGCAUUAGCUAGUUGGUAAGGUAACGGCUUACCAAGGCAACGAUGCAUAGCCGACCUGAGAGGGUGAUCGGCCACACUGGAACUGAGACACGGUCCAGACUCCUACGGGAGGCGGCAGUAGGGAAUCUUCCGCAAUGGGCGAAAGCCUGACGGAGCAACGCCGCGUGAGUGAUGAAGGUCUUCGGAUCGUAAACUCUGUUAUUAGGGAAGACUCAUAUGUGUAAGUAACUGUGCACAUCUUGACGGUACCUAAUCAGAAAGCCACGGCUAACUACGUGCCAGCAGCCGCGGUAAUACGUAGGUGGCAAGCGUUAUCCGGAAUUAUUGGGCGUAAAGCGCGCGUAGGCGGUUUUUUAAGUCUGAUGUGAAAGCCCACGGCUCAACCGUGGAGGGUCAUUGGAAACUGGAAAACUUGAGUGCAGAAGAGGAAAGUGGAAUUCCAUGUGUAGCGGUGAAAUGCGCAGAGAUAUGGAGGAACACCAGUGGCGAAGGCGACUUUCUGGUCUGUAACUGACGCUGAUGUGCGAAAGCGUGGGGAUCAAACAGGAUUAGAUACCCUGGUAGUCC